rnacentral:lncRNA from 1 species
UAAAAGAAGGCCUAGGCCAUACAUACAAUCAUUAAUACAAGAAGUACAAAAUCAUGGUUCAUGUAUUAUAUAUAUAGUCCAAUCAUCUACGCUUUGUCCUAAAAAGAUAUGAUCCACUCAUGCUGCAGGAGCAUAAUCAUAUAUAACGUCGUCAUCGUUGUCCCCGUUUUCUAAAGACGCAGCUUGAGCAUUGUUAAUGAUGUCGCCUCCAAUGCAUGUUUCAUAGAUAUUGCCAUGCAUGCUGAGAACAAACUUGGAGACAGAAAUAAUAGUGUCUUCUUUGAACAAUGGACAAAGGAAAUGGUUAACAAAAAGAUUGAUG